rnacentral:rRNA from 1 species
UUUUGGACAAUGGGCGCAAGCAUGAUCCAGCCAUGCCGCGUGUGUGAAGAAGGCCUUCGGGUUGUAAAGCACUUUCGGCCGGAACGAAAUCGCCUACGUUAAUAGCGGAGGUGGAUGACGGUACCGGAAGAAGAAGCACCGGCUAACUACGUGCCAGCAGCCGCGGUAAUACGUAGGGUGCAGGCGUUAAUCGGAAUUACUGGGCGAAAGCGUGCGCAGGCGGUUUGUUAAGACAGGUGUGAAAUCCCCGGGCUUAACCUGGGAAUUGCGCUUGAACUGGCAGACUGGAGUGUGGCAAGGGGGGUGAAUUCCAAGUGAGCAGUAAAUGCGAGUUUUGAGAACACCAUGGCAAGGAGCCCCCUGGCAAACUGCGUAUGCAAAA